GCACAUCGUGUCUGAAGCCAAGGAAUGAUGCAGGCAGACGCCCCUGCUCGCCCUCCUGCUGUGCCAGCUCCUCUGACCCCACUGCCUCUGCCCUGUCCCAGGUGAAGCUGUCAGACUUCGGGUUCUGUGCCCAGGUGAGCAAGGAAGUGCCCCGAAGGAAGUCGCUGGUCGGCACGCCCUACUGGAUGGCCCCAGAGCUCAUCUCCCGCCUUCCCUACGGGCCAGAGGUGGACAUCUGGUCGCUGGGGAUAAUGGUGAUUGAGAUGGUAGACGGAGAGCCCCCCUACUUCAACGAGCCACCCCUCAAAGCCAUGAAGAUGAUUCGGGACAACCUGCCACCCCGACUGAAGAACCUGCACAAGGUGUCGCCAUCCCUGAAGGGCUUCCUGGACCGCCUGCUGGUGCGGGACCCUGCCCAGCGGGCCACGGCAGCCGAGCUGCUGAAGCACCCAUUCCUGGCCAAGGCAGGGCCGCCCGCCAGCAUCGUGCCCCUCAUGCGCCAGAACCGCACCAGAUGAGGCCCAGCGCCCUUCCCCUCGACCAAAGAGC
rnacentral:sRNA from 1 species